CCGGCACCGGCAGUGAGCAGCUGGGAGCUAUGGCUCCGCCGCUACUGCUCGUCUUCCUCCUCCUCCCGGCCCUCGCCGCCGGUCACCAGCAUCCGUCCUCCUUCGGCUCCUCCGCCCUCUCCGAGUGGCGCCCCGCCAAGGCCUCCUACUACGCCGCCGACCCCGAGGACGCCAUUGGUACGCACCAAAGCUCGCCUCGCCUGCCUCAUUCAUUGUUCACCCGCAUCCACGGUUCAGUUCCGCCGAACCGUCCUUUCACUCCUUUAAUUCGUAAUGUCCAUGCUGCGAGCACGCAUAAAGAUUUCUCUUUCGGGGUGCCACCGGAACGAAAUCUCCCCCCAAACCGCACGUUCGCUUACCGGAAUUGUGCGACCGUACAGUUCGUGAAUUGGUUGCGGUUUUCUGGUUCUCCCCAUAGGAAUGUAUUCUGAUUUUUGGCUUCGUGAUGCGGCGUGCAGGUGGGGCUUGCGGGUUCGGGGAUCUGGGGAAGCACGGUUACGGAAUGGCGACGGUGGGGCUGAGCACGGCGCUGUUCGAUCGCGGAGCGGCGUGCGGCGGCUGCUACGAGGUCAGGUGCGUCGAGAAUCUCAAGUAUUGCCUCCCCGGCACCUCCAUCGUCGUCACAGCCACCAACUUCUGCGCCCCCAACUACGGCCUCCCCGCCGACGCCGGCGGCCACUGCAACCCGCCCAACCACCACUUCCUCCUCCCCAUCCAGGCGUUCGAGAAGAUUGCGCUCUGGAAGGCCGGCGUCAUGCCCAUCCAGUACCGCCGGUAUGUGUCGUUCUUGGCUGCUGCUUUUGCUUCUGCUAGAUCUGAGGUUAUUUUUUCCCUAAUCAACUUUGUGUGAAACUGUGAAAGCGCUUGCUGACCUAGAAUUGAGUUGGUGCGCAAUGUGGAACCCAAGAAAAGCUGAAUUGCGAGUGUCCG
rnacentral:lncRNA from 1 species